rnacentral:lncRNA from 1 species
CUAUGUACACUCCAGGAUCAUGUAAGAGCUAUAUACUCCAGACAUAUGGCAGAAAAUACCUGCAUUCCCAUGCAGCACAGGAAGAACAUAAAAAUGAUCAUGUGAGUCGACAGGCAACCAUUACUGUGUUAAAAACUCAACAAAAUCAGUCCAUUCACCUACAGAGACCUGAGUAACAGACUACCCCAAAUCCUGCUCAGCAAGGACUGUAACAUGAAGACCUCUGAUUAUUGCCAACUGGGGAAAAGUGUUUUGCAGGGCUGGAUGCAAAUUUUCUGUUUCA